UAUAAGUAAGUACACCAUAAAAUAACCACAAUGUGUUUGUGUUUCCACGUGUAAUAAAGAUGGAGGUUUCUUAUGCACCAAAUUUGGAAAGCGUAUGACUUCGUCAGUACAUACAACAGUCAUGCCAGCUAGAGUGAUAGACUAGGACCUGAUAUAACAUUUAUGUGACAAACAUGAUUAAUUUUCUUAUCUAUCGCACUAAUGUUCAAAACAACAAACAUAUCUCGUUUAAAAAAAAGUUAACAAUCCACAAAGGUUUCCUGUUUGAGUUUAACAAUCUGACACUGUAAUUUUUUAAAUACGUACUAAAAAAUAAUCAUAAAAAGUGAAUCACUG
rnacentral:lncRNA from 1 species